CCGGCUGCUCAAGUUUUCGGUUAAAUCUAUGCGCUCAACGUAUAGGCCGCCGAAAAUACUGGGCAGCUAGGGAGUGGGAGAGGUACACGGUACUCAAUAGGAAGGGAUAAAAUCCUUUGAUCUAUUGAUGACCACCUGUGGCGAAGGCGGUGUACCAGAACACGUUCGACGGUGAGGGAUGAAAGCUGGGGGAGCAAACCGGAUUAGAUACCCGGGUAGUCCCAGCUGUAAACGAUGCAGACUCGGUGAUGCAUUGGCUUGUGGCCAAUGCAGUGCCGCAGGGAAGCCGUUAAGUCUGCCGCCUGGGAAGUACGUACGCAAGUAUGAAACUUAAAGGAAUUGGCGGGGGAGCACCACAAGGGGUGAAGCCUGCGGUUCAAUUGGAGUCAACGCCAGAAAUCUUACCUGGGGCGACAGCAGAAUGAAGGUCAAGCUGAAGACUUUACCAGACAAGCUGAGAGGUGGUGCAUGGCCGUCGCCAGCUCGUGCCGUGAGAUGUCCUGUUAAGUCAGGUAACGAGCGAGACCCCUGCGUCUAGUUGCUACCAUUACUCUCUGGAGUAGUGGAGCGAAUUAGACGGACCGCCACAGUUAAUGUGGAGGAAGGAAGGGGCCACGGCAGGUCAGUAUGCCCCGAAACCCUAGGGCUACACGCGGGCUGCAAUGGUAUUGACAAUGUGUUCCGAAUCCGAAAGGAGGAGGCAAUCAUCAAACGAUACCUCAGUUAUGACUGAGGGCUGUAACUCGCCCUCACGAAUAUGGAAUCCCUAGUAACUGCGCGUCACUACCGCGCGGUGAAUACGUCCCUGCUCCUUGCACACACCGCCCGUCGUUUCAUCGAAGUUGGCCUUUAGUGAGGUAGUGUCUUGUUGGCAUUAUCGAGCUUGAGGUCAGUGACGAGGGAAAAGUCGUAACAAGGUA
rnacentral:rRNA from 1 species